UACGAAGGGAGCUAGCGUUGUUCGGAAUCAUUGGGCGUAAAGCGCGCGUAGGCGGCCCGGUAAGUCCGCUGUGAAAGUCAAAGGCUCAACCUUUGAAUGUCAGCGGAUACUGCCGGGCUAGAGUCCGGAAGAGGCGAGUGGAAUUCCUGGUGUAGCGGUGGAAUGCGCAGAUAUCAGGAAGAACACCUAUGGCGAAAAGCAGCUCUCUGGGACGGUACUGACGCUGAGACGCGAAAGCGUGGGGAGCGAACAGG
rnacentral:rRNA from 1 species